UAGGGAAUCUUCCGCAAUGGACGAAAGUCUGACGGAGCAACGCCGCGUGAGUGAUGAAGGUUUUCGGAUCGUAAAGCUCUGUUGCCAGGGAAGAACGCUUGGGAGAGUAACUGCUCCCAAGGUGACGGUACCUGAGAAGAAAGCCCCGGCUAACUACGUGCCAGCAGCCGCGGUAAUACGUAGGGGGCAAGCGUUGUCCGGAAUUAUUGGGCGUAAAGCGCGCGCAGGCGGCUAAUUAAGUCUGGUGUUUAAUCUCGGGGCUCAACCCCGAGUCGCACUGGAAACUGGUUGGCUUGAGUGCAGAAGAGGAAAGUGGAAUUCCACGUGUAGCGGUGAAAUGCGUAGAGAUGUGGAGGAACACCAGUGGCGAAGGCGACUUUCUGGGCUGUAACUGACGCUGAGGCGCGAAAGCGUGGGGAGCAAACA
rnacentral:rRNA from 1 species